rnacentral:rRNA from 1 species
UGGGGAAUUUUGGACAAUGGGCGAAAGCCUGAUCCAGCCAUGCCGCGUGAGUGAAGAAGGCCUUCGGGUUGUAAAGCUCUUUUAGUCGGAAAGAAAGAGUUGCAAUGAAUAAUUGUGAUUUAUGACGGUACCGACAGAAAAAGCACCGGCUAACUACGUGCCAGCAGCCGCUGUAAUACGUAGGGUGCGAGCGUUAAUCGGAAUUACUGGGCGUAAAGGGUGCGCAGGCGGUCUUGCAAGUCAGAUGUGAAAGCCCCGGGCUUAACCUGGGAAUUGCGUUUGAAACUACAAGACUAGAGUGCAGCAGAGGGGAGUGGAAUUCCAUGUGUAGCAGUGAAAUGCGUAGAGAUGUGGAAGAACACCGAUGGCGAAGGCAGCUCCCUGGGUUGACACUGACGCUCAUGCACGAAAGCGUGGGGAGCAAACA